CAAUAUUAGAACAAGAGAAGAAGAGAGAAUAUGCACUAAGGCUAGAAUAUUGGUGUGUCUUACAAUGGCUUGGAGCAUUCCUAUUUAUAGCCAAAGCCUGGAGGAUCCUAUGGCCAAAAACAAAGAUGUUUCACCACAACCUCUUCUUCUCAUUGGCUACAAAAGAGGUUACACUAUAGCCACUCAUUUUACUUGGCCACAAGAAUGUUUCAUCAU
rnacentral:lncRNA from 1 species